CAAUAGCAUACAUUAAAAAAGCUCGUAGUUGGAUUUCUGGCAUGAUGCGUCUGGCCGCCUCAAUUCUGAGUGUGUGUGCGAGUGCGCGUCUGCCAUCCAUUUGCAGAAUGUGUCUACUCUUCAUUUAGCCGGAUACGUGAUGUAUCUUUUACUUUGAAAAAUUAGAGUGUUUUAAGCAGGCAUUUGCUAUGAAUACAUUAGCAUGGAAUAAUAAUCUAGGACUUCGGUUCUAUUUUGUUGGUUUCUAGAUCUGAAGUAAUGAUUGAUAGGGAAAGUUGGUGGUUCUAGUAUUAAGGGGCCAGAGGUGAAAUUCUUUGGUUCUCUUAAGACUAACGUAUGCGAAAGCAUUCACCAAGGAUGUCUUCUUUAAGCAAGAACGAAAGUUGGGGGAUCGAAGAUGAUCAGAUACC
rnacentral:rRNA from 1 species